rnacentral:rRNA from 1 species
GUGCCAGCCGCCGCGGUAAUACGAACCGUCCAAACGUUAUUCGGAAUCACUGGGCUUAAAGAGUCCGUAGGCGGCCAAUUAGGUGAGGUGUGAAAUCCCCCGGCUUAACCGAGGAAUUGCGCUUCAAACCGACUGGCUAGAGGAAGAUAGAGGAAAGCGGAACUGAUGGUGGAGCGGUGAAAUGCGUUGAUAUCAUCAGGAACACCGGUGGCGAAAGCGGCUUUCUGGGUCUUUUCUGACGCUGAGGGACGAAAGCUAGGGGAGCGAACGGGAUUAGAUACCCGUGUAGUCC